AGGUGUGACUUAAUAAAAGAUUACAGCUACGGACUGUAGAUAAGGGUAGUAAAAAGUAAUAACCCUCGCACCUU
rnacentral:tRNA from 1 species